ACACAUGCAGUCGAACGGUGAAGCAGAGCUUGCUCUGUGGAUCAGUGGCGAACGGGUGAGUAACACGUGAGCAACCUGCCCCUGACUCUGGGAUAAGCGCUGGAAACGGCGUCUAAUACUGGAUAUGAGCUGCGACCGCAUGGUCAGCAGUUGGAAAGAUUUUUCGGUCUGGGAUGGGCUCACGGCCUAUCAGCUUGUUGGUGAGGUAAUGGCUCACCAAGGCGUCGACGGGUAGCCGGCCUGAGAGGGUGACCGGCCACACUGGGACUGAGACACGGCCCAGACUCCUACGGGAGGCAGCAGUGGGGAAUAUUGCACAAUGGGCGCAAGCCUGAUGCAGCAACGCCGCGUGAGGGACGACGGCCUUCGGGUUGUAAACCUCUUUUAGCAGGGAAGAAGCGAAAGUGACGGUACCUGCAGAAAAAGCGCCGGCUAACUACGUGCCAGCAGCCGCGGUAAUACGUAGGGCGCAAGCGUUAUCCGGAAUUAUUGGGCGUAAAGAGCUCGUAGGCGGUUUGUCGCGUCUGCUGUGAAAUCCCGAGGCUCAACCUCGGGUCUGCAGUGGGUACGGGCAGACUAGAGUGCGGUAGGGGAGAUUGGAAUUCCUGGUGUAGCGGUGGAAUGCGCAGAUAUCAGGAGGAACACCGAUGGCGAAGGCAGAUCUCUGGGCCGUUACUGACGCUGAGGAGCGAAAGGGUGGGGAGCAAACAGGCUUAGAUACCCUGGUAGUCCACCCCGUAAACGUUGGGAACUAGUUGUGGGGUCCAUUCCACGGAUUCCGUGACGCAGCU
rnacentral:rRNA from 2 species